GCCAAAUAUGUGUGUGGUACUGAAGACGAUGGCUGAUUUAGAAACUUGAUGCAGUGGCAUUUUAGCCCUGAGGUAUUUCAUAUUCCGCGAAAGAUUAGUGUGAAGUGAUAGUGACUAGUUGAUGUGGACUGCUGAAAAAGCCAUUGUAACACAAAUUCUUGAAUCUACUCUUGAUGGCUUGGAAGGUAAGAAUUUUGUUUAUUGUUGAAGAACGACUGCGGAAAAAGAAGUGGUGUUAAAAGGAUAAGAUAGCAGGUAAU
rnacentral:misc_RNA from 1 species